rnacentral:rRNA from 1 species
UACGUAGGGGGCAAGCGUUAUCCGGAUUUACUAGGUGUAAAGGGAGCGUAGACGGCAGUGCAAGUCCGGAGUGAAAGCCCGGGGCUCAACCCCGGGACUGCAUUUGGAACUGUAUGGCUGGAGUGUCGGAGAGGCAGGCGGAAUUCCUAGUGUAGCGGUGAAAUGCGUAGAUAUUAGGAGGAACACCAGUGGCGAGGGCGGCCUGCUGGACGAUGACUGACGUUGAGGCUCGAAAGCGUGGGGAGCAAACAGG